rnacentral:lncRNA from 13 species
CUCAACACAGCAAGAGUCUGUAGAGAAGAAAUAAGGCUCCUCUGAUCCUAGAUCUGUGCAACCUUUACCUAGGAGCAGUCACAUGAACAAAUGCAGACUCCAAAACAGUCAAGUGAAAGACAAAAAGGUUUUAUUUAGAAAUUCACAGUUUCUAAUGGCACUACAUCUUUGUAGUUACACUCACGCUCCUGUUGCACAGUACUAUGCAGCUCUUCCUCAGAGUACUCACAGUGAGAGAAAAGAGAGAGAAAAAAAAGAGGCAUGGACAGAAACCACUUGAGACAGGGUUUAGUGUAGAAAAACAAAAAGGCAUGAAGGUAAUAAAGUUUUGCGUACCAAACCCUUUCCCAACAUUCCCUUUAUUAAAUUCAACCUCUGAAAACCACUACCUGCCUAUGAGGUGGGGUGAAUGUACAGUAAUGAACAACAAAUGAAUGAAUGACAGCUAGUAAGGAAAGUAGAGGUGGCCAGUUAAAGGAGCCAUUCAUGGUAAAGGGAAGAGAAGUGGUUAAAUUAAAAGAACUCUUGCCACAGUGUCUGAACCCUGACCUGUGUAGGGGUUAGAGGUCAGGGUGUGGAAAGGGUAGAGUAGGGGACCUGGGAGGCUGGUCUGUAGCGGAAAACUAUAGAGGGAGUGUGUAGUGUUUAUUUGGUUUGUGGUAUUCCAGUGUCUCUUUCUCAGUUAGUCAACAACCAACCCAACUCAGAGGCCAUCAGAUCACACCCACACUAUACACAGGCUAACUACACAGAUAUAUAGUACACAGAGAUGGGAUUUUUCACAUUUGCCGUGCCAAUCACAUCCUUGCACAGACACAGAACCAAUUACUUCAAACAUUUCUUCUCUUUUAACUUCAUCUUCCCAAAGUCCUCUGAACAACUAAGGAAGCAGACCCACACCCUCUGAUUUGUGAGUUGUGGCUGGUUCAUAUUGAAUAUUAUUCUGUCUUAUACAAUCCAGCAACAGUUAUUACUGGGGCUGAUAUGGUUACAGCCCUCCGUACCCUGAUAGAGGUGUAGUUAAGAGAGGUUUGUGUGUGUGAGACAGUGGCGGUGACUCAAAACCACAGAAAUAUAAAAAGGUGGACACCUUGUUGUCUCUAUAUCUUUGUAAAAACAAAUAUUGGUCACUAAAGAGGUGAACAUCUGAGCCAAUGUGUUAAAUAGUGUGUCGGGCAGCCAGUGGAAAAAUCACACAGUAUGCAACAGUACCAUGGUAUGUAUGUACGUCAGAGGCUGGUGGGAGGAGCUAUAGGAGGAUGGGCUCUUUGUAAUGGCUGGAAUUUGAUAAAUGGAAUGAGUCAAAUGUGGUUUCUUUGUGUUUGCUACCGUUCCAUUAAUUCCAUUUAAUGGUGGGAGGAGCCAUUAUUUGACCAACUAGGCUACCUUGGGCGGUAGGUAGCCUAGUGGUUAGAGCGUUGGACUAGUACCCGAAAGGUUGAAAGAUGGAAUCCCCGAGCUGACAAGGUAAAAAUCUGUCGUUCUGCCCCUGAACAAGGCAGUUAACCCACUGUUCCUAGGCCGUCAUUGAAAAUAAGAAUGUGUUCUUAACUGACUUGCCUAGUUAAAUCAAAUAUGUUUUUUUUUUUUGCCAUUACAACGAGUCUUCCUAUAGCUCCUCCCACCAGCCUCCUCUGAUGUACCUGUACCUUUAUCUGUGUGUAUAUGUGUUUUAAUUGAAACCAUUAUUAUUGUCUGUACCGUGUGUGUGCCCCUGGGCUACAGUAUGUGGGGUUUGCUGUGAGGCCAGGACAUAAAUAGAUAAAUAAAACUGACCUCACAGAGUCCUCAAUAGGACCUCAGGGGAUCUGCUCUCAAAGUGAAGUUACCCCUAGACACUGUUCUAAGAUCAGUAUUGCAUUGUUGAUUCAAAAUGGUGAACAUGAGGAAUUGGGGGAGGGAAAGCUGAUCUUAGAUUAGUAACUAAAGGCAACUUCUACCCACAAAGAUGUGACAUCUUCAGACUGAACUGUUCCCAACAACUAGAAUAUCACACAACACUCAGUUCUCAGCAUGGCUCAUAAACAUCUCAAUAUAAAAACACAACCCAACUGACUGACUGGGUUCUGGCUGCAGAGACUACCUGACACAAUGUGCAAAAACAACCAGCCUUGAAAAAGUCCAGCAGCUAAGCCUCAAAUUUGAGGGGAAUUAUAAAAACACCACAUUUCACACACAGCUAGAACAAGUCCCAAGAAGUAUGUUUUUUUAAUAUAUUUUUUAGCUAUAAUGCCAUCACAGAUGUUUUGUAUUACCACCCUGGCAGCAUUUCCAAAAUGGCCACCAACCAGCCCCAUGGAGCCAUAUUGGACAGGAGUUACAUAGCCAUAUCUCCAUAAAUAUUAGGUACAUAAAGCCCAAUUGAUGACUUAAAAUGUUUGUGGGGGUCUGUAGAACACAAUAGAAUGGACCAAGUAUACCAGUUAGAUGUGAUCUUUAAAAUUGAAUAUACUUCAUCCUAAUUUUCCGUAUUUUAACAGUACAAUAUCCCUUUUCUCUUAGCUGGCUGUGUGUUUGUUAGUGUGUGUGUGUGUGUGUGUGUGUGUGCGCGCACGCGCGCGUGUGUGUGUGUGUAUAUUUUGGGCCCAGCCCAUACAACUUUCAGAGGUCUUACUGGAGAGACAAGCUGCUAUGUAAACUAGUUCAAUAGUUAGAGCUUCUUCCUUAGUAUCACAGCUGGAUAAACAUGGCUAGCCGCUAGAGACACAGAGACAUGAACACACACACACACACACACACACGCAGUGUAUCUUCAUUCAGCUCUGCUGGUUGUGUUAGGUUAGACUGCCUGAGAGGGCGAGACAGAGGGCCUGCUGUGGUGUGAAGGGUUAACACCCCAGUCCCAUAUGAACAACAACUGCAAUAGUGUUCGCUAG